rnacentral:rRNA from 1 species
AGAGUUUGAUCCUGGCUCAGGAUGAACGCUAGCGGCAGGCCUAACACAUGCAAGUCGCGGGGUAAUUCCGGUGGCAACAUCGGGAACGACCGGCGCACGGGUGAGUAACGCGUAUGCAACCUUCCUUUAACCGGGGCAUAGCUCAGAGAAAUCUGAAUUAAUUCCCCAUAUUAUCAUGAAAUGGCAUCAUUUUAUGAUGAAAGCUCCGGCGGUUAAAGAUGGGCAUGCGUGCCAUUAGCUAGUUGGCGAGGUAACGGCUCACCAAGGCUACGAUGGCUAGGGGACCUGAGAGGGUUUUCCCCCACACUGGUACUGAGACACGGACCAGACUCCUACGGGAGGCAGCAGUGAGGAAUAUUGGGCAAUGGGCGCAAGCCUGACCCAGCCAUGCCGCGUGCAGGAUUGAAGGCGCUAUGCGUUGUAAACUGCUUUUAUACGGGAAUAAAUCCCUGAACGUGUUCGGGGUUGAAGGUACCGUAUGAAUAAGGAUCGGCUAACUCCGUGCCAGCAGCCGCGGUAAUACGGAGGAUCCUAGUGUUAUCCGGAUUUAUUGGGUUUAAAGGGUGCGUAGGCGGAAUGAUAAGUCAGUGGUGAAGUCCCCUCGCUUAACGAGGUAACUGCCAUAGAUACUGUCAUUCUUGAGUACAAUUGAGGUAGGCGGAAUGCGUCAUGUAGCGGUGAAAUGCUUAGAUAUGACACAGAACACCAAUUGCGAAGGCAGCUUACUAUAUUGUUACUGACGCUGAGGCACGAAAGCGUGGGGAUCAAACAGGAUUAGAUACCCUGGUAGUCCACGCCGUAAACGAUGAUUACUAGUUGUUGGCGAUACACAGUCAGCGACUGAGCAAAAACAUUAAGUAAUCCACCUGGGGAGUACGACGGCAACGUUGAAACUCAAAGGAAUUGACGGGGGCCCGCACAAGCGGAGGAACAUGUGGUUCAAUUCGAUGAUACGCGAGGAACCUUACCUGGGCUUGAAAUCAGGAUGACAGUCCCGGAAACGGGAUCUCCCUUCGGGGCAACCUGGUAGGUGCUGCAUGGUUGUCGUCAGCUCGUGCCGUGAGGUGUCGGCUUAAGUGCCAUAACGAGCGCAACCCUUAUCAUUAGUUGCCAUCGGGUAAUGCCGGGGACUCUAAUGAAACUGCCAGCGUAAGCUGUGAGGAAGGUGGGGAUGACGUCAAAUCAGCACGGCCCUUAUGUCCAGGGCUACACACGUGUUACAAUGGCCGCUACAGAGGGCAGCUACCUGGCAACAGGAUGCCAAUCUCGAAAAGCGGUCCCAGUUCGGAUCGAAGUCUGCAACUCGACUUCGUGAAGUUGGAUUCGCUAGUAAUCGCGCAUCAGCAACGGCGCGGUGAAUACGUUCCCGGGCCUUGUACACACCGCCCGUCAAGCCAUGGAAGCUGGGAGUACCUAAAGUCCGUAACCGCAAGGAGCGGCCUAGGGUAAAACCAGUGACUGGGGCUAAGUCGAACAAGGUA